GCGUCGGUAGUGCAACGGUUCAGCACGCGUCCCCGGAUAGGGUGAAAUGUAGGUUCGAAUCUCACCUGACGCA